rnacentral:rRNA from 1 species
GGGCGUAAGCGUGCGCAGGCGGUUUUGUAAGACAGGCGUGAAAUCCCCGGGCUCAACCUGGGAACUGCGCUUGUGACUGCAAGGCUAGAGUACGGCAGAGGGGGGUGGAAUUCCACGUGUAGCAGUGAAAUGCGUAGAGAUGUGGAGGAACACCAAUGGCGAAGGCAGCCCCCUGGGUCGAUACUGACGCUCAUGCACGAAAGCGUGGGUAGCAAACAGGAUUAGAUACCCUGGUAGUCCACGCCCUAAACGAUGUCAACUAGGUGUUGGGUGGGUAAAACCAUUUAGUACCGGAGCUAACGCGUGAAGUUGACCGCCUGGGGAGUACGGCCGCAAGGUUAAAACUCAAAGGAAUUGACGGGGACCCGCACAAGCGGUGGAUGAUGUGGAUUAAUUCGAUGCAACGCGAAAAACCUUACCUACCCUUGACAUGUCCAGAACCCCUGAGAGAUUGGGGGGUGCCCGAAAGGGAGCUGGAACACAGGUGCUGCAUGGCUGUCGUCAGCUCGUGUCGUGAGAUGUUGGGUUAAGUCCCGCAACGAGCGCAACCCUUGUCGUUAAUUGCCAUCAUUUAGUUGGGCACUUUAACGAGACUGCCGGUGACAAACCGGAGGAAGGUGGGGAUGACGUCAAGUCCUCAUGGCCCUUAUGGGUAGGGCUUCACACGUCAUACAAUGGUCGGUACAGAGGGUUGCCAAGCCGCGAGGUGGAGCCAAUCCCAGAAAGCCGAUCGUAGUCCGGAUUGCAGGCUGCAACUCGCCUGCAUGAAGUCGGAAUCGCUAGUAAUCGCGGAUCAGCAUGCCGCGGUGAGUACGUU